GACGAACGCUGGCGGCGUGCCUAAUACAUGCAAGUAGAACGCUGAAGGAGGAGCUUGCUCUUCUGGAUGAGUUGCGAACGGGUGAGUAACGCGUAGGUAACCUGCCUGGUAGCGGGGGAUAACUAUUGGAAACGAUAGCUAAUACCGCAUAAGAGUAGAUGUUGCAUGACAUUUACUUAAAAGGUGCAAUUGCAUCACUACCAGAUGGACCUGCGUUGUAUUAGCUAGUUGGUGGGGUAACGGCUUACCAAGGCGACGAUACAUAGCCGACCUGAGAGGGGGAUCGGCCACACUGGGACUGAGACACGGCCCAGACUCCUACGGGAGGCAGCAGUAGGGAAUCUUCGGCAAUGGACGGAAGUCUGACCGAGCAACGCCGCGUGAGUGAAGAAGGGUUUCGGAUCGUAAAGCUCUGUUGUAAGAGAAGAACGAGGGUGAGAGUGGAAAGUUCACACUGUGACGGUAGCUGACCAGAAAGAGACGGCUAACUACGUG
rnacentral:rRNA from 1 species